GUAGUAUAAAUAAUUAUAUUUAUUUAUAUUUUCUCCAUGUAGUUGCAGCCUUCAUUUAAAUGUCAGUGGGUGGGCUCUCCAGACACUCCACCCAAAAAACCAGCCAGAGAAGACAGCGUGGACUCAGAUGAUGACUACGAUGAUGUGGAAAUACCUGCCCAGUUCACCAGUUGUACAUUGCCUGCUGAUGAUGUCCCUCCUCCUCUUCCUCCAAAGCCGAAGAUCC
ensembl:lncRNA